rnacentral:misc_RNA from 1 species
GCUAGUAGCAGCACCAUGCAUGUAGCGAGGCUGGAGGAACAAUUGAGCGGUACCCCACAGAAGAUGAAAUUUAUCUCCCUGAAGCUCUUUGGCAAGAGCCACCACUUCAUCCAAGUUUGCAUUUGUUUCCUCAAGGGUCUUUCCCUCUGGAGCGAUGUCCCUAUCGUGGAAGCACCAUCUUUCUACUCCAAGUUUCUCCAGGAAUUCAAAGUUGGCUCUCAGUCUUCUCUUGGCCAUAGCCAGGGAAUUGGUGCCAUCUUCCCACGGCCACGACUUUGUAGGAGCACCAAAUGGAUCAGCUCCUGUGCCACGGAAUGUAUGCCAAAAU